AUAUCUCUCCGUACGGGAAGGAUGAGAAGCUUCGACUAAGGUUCGAUUCGAGCGCAGCGAGAAAGCGUUGCCGCAGGCAACGACCCGAAGGGCGAAGCGCGCAG
rnacentral:sRNA from 2 species